rnacentral:rRNA from 1 species
UGCAGUCGAGCGGCAGCGACUUAACUGAACCUUCGGGGAACGUUAAGGGCGGCGAGCGGCGGACGGGUGAGUAAUGCCUGGGAAUAUGCCCUGAUGUGGGGGAUAACUAUUGGAAACGAUAGCUAAUACCGCAUAAUCUCUUCGGAGCAAAGAGGGGGACCUUCGGGCCUCUCGCGUCAGGAUUAGCCAGGUGGGAUUAGCUUGUUGGUGAGGUAAUGGCUCACCAAGGCGACGAUCCCUAGCUGGUCUGAGAGGAUGAUCAGCCACACUGGAACUGAGACACGGUCCAGACUCCUACGGGAGGCAGCAGUGGGGAAUAUUGCACAAUGGGGGAAACCCUGAUGCAGCCAUGCCGCGUGUGUGAAGAAGGCCUUCGGGUUGUAAAGCACUUUCAGUAGGGAGGAAGGUAGUGUAGUUAACACCUGCAUUAUUUGACGUUACCUACAGAAGAAGCACCGGCUAACUCCGUGCCAGCAGCCGCGGUAAUACGGAGGGUGCGAGCGUUAAUCGGAAAUUACUGGGCGUAAAGCGCAUGCAGGCGGCCUGUUAAGUCAGAUGUGAAAGCCCGGGGCUUAACCUCGGAAUUGCAUUUGAAACUGGCAGGCUAGAGUCUUGUAGAGGGGGGUAGAAUUUCAGGUGUAGCGGUGAAAUGCGUAGAGAUCUGAAGAAUACCAGUGGCGAAGCGGCCCCCUGGACAAAGACUGACGCUCAGAUGCGAAAGCGUGGGGAGCAAACA